UCCCUUGUGGCUCAGCUGGUAAAGAAUCUGCCUGCGAUGCAGGAGACAUGGGUUUGAUCCCUGGCAUGGGAA
rfam:TPA: Bos taurus chromosome 11, whole genome shotgun sequence.